CUUCAUCCGAGCAGCAUAGACACGCAGCCACUCAGUUGCAACAAAACUCGCACGAACUGAUGCGGAUGGACGACGGAUAUCAAGUUUGCCGUCGAGAUGUGCAAACAGGAAUCAGGACGGUGAUACGAUGGACGCGGAAUAAUAUUCCGCUCCCAGCUCUUCUUGUUUCACAACACCAAACAAGCACCCUCUCAUCCUCUCUCGCGUUCUCUCUUCUGCUUCUGUAAUACGGAUAUUGUAUUACUUUUGCAUUUCCAAAUUCUGGUUAGUCCCAAACUUUGUCUCUCUCAGGCGAGACGGGUAAAAAGGAAACAAGAGCAGGGAGCGAAAGGGAUUUCAUACAAACAGUCCAGCGUUCUACUCCAUCAUUUCAUGCUCUUUCACCCACCAAAUAUUCGAUGCGUCCGAGAACCAAGUAAAAUCAGGUUCGUGGAGGACUUGUGAUCUCUCACAAGAGAAAAAUUCAAUCUCAAAUGGAGAGCCCUCGUCUUCUUCCUCCUUUGUUGGUGAUGGAGAAGGAACAGUUAAUCUGUAAUGGACAACUUAGAGUGACAAGUUCAGCUGCGGUCGGUCCAGGAAGGUAUGUCUCCUCUACUACUCGACUCCAUCAGUCUGGGGAAAGCGACACCACAGAAGAGAAGAGAAAGUAGAAAGGGAAAAGCACAAGUCCCCAUAAAGAUCUCCAGAUUAGAUUAAUAGUUAGUGCACAACCAAGUUUAGCAACUAACUAACAGUUGUCAAUUGUCACCAUGGUCGGCGGGCGGGCCUUCUGCCUAAAGCAUCAAGCACCAAACUGAUACUUCUUCUUGCGAGAAGUCAUUUAAUUCAGUCGCCCCAAACUCCUCAACAAAUGGCGAAUGAGUGACAUCCGACUCCACUUUCUCUACGCAAGAAGAAAUUCAGACAUUUCCCUGCACGAGAUAGCAAUCCAGGUUUCAUUAUUGUGAAGAGUAAUUCACUUAUCUCUAUUCCCUUAUCUCACCAAACUCGGCCGAUUGGGUUCAGACUUUGGUGGUGGCUGCGUGGUGGUGGUCGUCGUCGUCCGACACUGGGAGGGGACGGCGACAGUGAUGGAGGUCACAACGGAGACGAGUGAAAUCGGAUUCCUGCCAGCAACUCUAUAUGUACCCUGCCCAUUCUUCCGUUAGGAAUUCGAUUAAGAAUGUGAUUUGACGACAUCAAGAAUAUGGAGUUUCAACCGAUUGUGACGAAGAGGAAGGACAAAUGGUAACAACUGGAAUACUAAGAAAACAACGAACUCCCUUCAUUCCCACUUCACCCCAAAUACGCUUUUAUGGCUUGACGACGACUUUCACCAUGAAUUUAUAAUGUUGCCCUAUCUAUUUUUUCCUCUGGAAGUGACUAAUAGUAAGAUCUUUCGUUUGACCUAAACCCAGCCUGGGAAGGUCGAUGGAGUUUGUGGAGCCCUAUUUAAGAAUGGGGGUAGCUCCUCCCCUCCCACCCUGGGUUGAGCCGUUUUGCACUUUCACCGACGUGGCGAAAGCCCCAAGGUGCACCGAGUGGCAUUAUGCAUGCAGUGUGGCUAGUCGUUGUACUUGUUGCUGCUGGUUAGGCCAAUCAUUUGGUCGAUACCUCAUGCAAAACACAUUACGUUACAAUUAGUCUGUUGUAUAAGUUGCAAUUGUCCAAAAUUGAUCUACUUCAA